GACGAACCGUCCAAACGUUAUUCGGAAUCACUGGGCUUACAGAGUUCGUAGGCGGUCUGGCAAGUUGGGUGUGAAAUCCCUCGGCUCAACCGAGGAACUGCGCUCAAAACUACCCGACUCGAGGGAGAUAGAGGAAAGCGGAACUGAUGGUGGAGCGGUGAAAUGCGUUGAUAUCAUCAGGAACACCGGUGGCGAAGGCGGCUUUCUGGGUCUUACCUGACGCUGAGGAACGAAAGCUAGGGGAGCGAACGGG
rnacentral:rRNA from 1 species